UUUGAGCACUGAUGCAAUUACAAUAGGUAACACAUUUUCACUUUUGUCUUGUUCCUGGGUUAAAACCAUAAUUUCCCAUUUCUUCACAACCAAUCAAAAGAGAAAAGAUUGGUCUUGACCUCCAAACUCUGGUUUUGUGGUCAGGAUAAUGAAAUUGCAAAUUAACCAGUUUUCGCAUUCACUGAGUGGUCACUACUAAUUUCUGGAAAACUUAAGUCCAUUUGUCAGAGUUGUGGUCAUCAUAUUUUCUUUUUGUGAUCAUGUCAAAAGUGUUUAAACAUCAUUUCAAACAUAAUACAAUGUUGACAAAGCAAUUAUAUUUAUGAAAACCUUCCUCAUUUGUACAGAUUGAGCAAGAA